rnacentral:rRNA from 1 species
AUGAACGCUAGCUACAGGCUUAACACAUGCAAGUCGAGGGGCAGCAUGGUCUUAGCUUGCUAAGGCCGAUGGCGACCGGCGCACGGGUGAGUAACACGUAUCCAACCUGCCGUCUACUCUUGGACAGCCUUCUGAAAGGAAGAUUAAUACAAGAUGGCAUCAUGAGUCCGCAUGUUCACAUGAUUAAAGGUAUUCCGGUAGACGAUGGGGAUGCGUUCCAUUAGAUAGUAGGCGGGGUAACGGCCCACCUAGUCUUCGAUGGAUAGGGGUUCUGAGAGGAAGGUCCCCCACAUUGGAACUGAGACACGGUCCAAACUCCUACGGGAGGCAGCAGUGAGGAAUAUUGGUCAAUGGGCGAGAGCCUGAACCAGCCAAGUAGCGUGAAGGAUGACUGCCCUAUGGGUUGUAAACUUCUUUUAUAAAGGAAUAAAGUCGGGUAUGGAUACCCGUUUGCGUGUACUUUAUGAAUAAGGAUCGGCUAACUCCGUGCCAGCAGCCGCGGUAAUACGGAGGAUCCGAGCGUUAUCCGGAUUUAUUGGGUUUAAAGGGAGCGUAGAUGGAUGUUUAAGUCAGUUGUGAAAGUUUGCGGCUCAACCGUAAAAUUGCAGUUGAUACUGGAUAUCUUGAGUGCAGUUGAGGCAGGCGGAAUUCGUGGUGUAGCGGUGAAAUGCUUAGAUAUCACGAAGAACUCCGAUUGCGAAGGCAGCCUGCUAAGCUGCAACUGACAUUGAGGCUCGAAAGUGUGGGUAUCAAACAGGAUUAGAUACCCUGGUAGUCCACACGGUAAACGAUGAAUACUCGCUGUUUGCGAUAUACUGCAAGCGGCCAAGCGAAAGCGUUAAGUAUUCCACCUGGGGAGUACGCCGGCAACGGUGAAACUCAAAGGAAUUGACGGGGGCCCGCACAAGCGGAGGAACAUGUGGUUUAAUUCGAUGAUACGCGAGGAACCUUACCCGGGCUUAAAUUGCAGAUGAAUUACGGUGAAAGCCGUAAGCCGCAAGGCAUCUGUGAAGGUGCUGCAUGGUUGUCGUCAGCUCGUGCCGUGAGGUGUCGGCUUAAGUGCCAUAACGAGCGCAACCCUUGUUGUCAGUUACUAACAGGUUCCGCUGAGGACUCUGACAAGACUGCCAUCGUAAGAUGUGAGGAAGGUGGGGAUGACGUCAAAUCAGCACGGCCCUUACGUCCGGGGCUACACACGUGUUACAAUGGGGGGUACAGAGGGCCGCUACCACGCGAGUGGAUGCCAAUCCCCAAAACCUCUCUCAGUUCGGACUGGAGUCUGCAACCCGACUCCACGAAGCUGGAUUCGCUAGUAAUCGCGCAUCAGCCACGGCGCGGUGAAUACGUUCCCGGGCCUUGUACACACCGCCCGUCAAGCCAUGGGAGCCGGGGGUACCUGAAGUGCGUAACCGCGAGGAGCGCCCUAGGGUAAAACUGGUGACUGGGGCU